AGCAGCCGCGGUAAUUCCAGCUCCAAUAGCGUAUAUUAAAGUUGUUGCAGUUAAAAAGCUCGUAGUUGAAUUUCGGGGUUAGUAGGUUGGUCAUGCCUCUGGUAUGUACUGGUCUCACUGAUUCCUCCUUCCUGAUGAGCCGUAAUGCCACUAAUUUGGUGUUGCGGGGAAACUGGACUGUUACUUUGAAAAAAUUAGAGUGUUUAAAGCAGGCUAACGCUUGAAUACAUUAGCAUGGAAUAAUGAAAUAGGACGUUCGAUCUUAUUUUGUUGGUUUCUAGGAUUGACGUAAUGAUUAAUAGGGAUAGUUGGGGGCAUUAGUAUUCAAUUGUCAGAGGUGAAACUCUUGGAUUUAUUGAAGACUAACUUCUAGCGAAAGCAUUUGCCAAGGAUGUUUUCAUUAAUCAAGAACGAAAGUUAGGGGAUCGAAGACGAUCAGAUACCGUCGUA
rnacentral:rRNA from 1 species